rnacentral:lncRNA from 1 species
GGAGAGCGGGAGCAGGCGUGACACCCACUCCCUUUUCCCAGGAUAAAUAAUUGCGAGAAACUAGUCAAUUAUCAUAAAUUAGGUGAGGUGAAAUGAUACUGUUAAAUGAUAUGGAAUGUCUAAAUCUGUCUUCACACAGCAUUCUCUACUCUGCUAUGAGCGUUGGUUAUCGACUACGAACAAUCAGAGAAGGGGCAUAAUAGUGUUGUUCUGGGACCAUAACGUGAGUCUGACUGGGGAAGAGGGGUCUCCUCAAGGGACCCGCGUGUGUAUGUGUGAGGGGCGGGGGAAUCCGAGGUCUACCAACCAGGACAAGACAUUGGCCAAUCAGAAUCCACCCAUCCCUGCACAAUUGGCACUCCUCUCGAACGGUUACAGCUGUAUGUGCAUUCACAUAGCAAGCCUACUCUUCAGCUGGGCUGGAGGUUAGGAUGACUGGUUUUAUUGUGUGUGUUUGUUGUGUAGGUGAUUGUAUGCAGGUCUGUUGGAGAUUCUGGAGUGCCUGAGCCCCUUACUACCCAGAGAGUGGAACACCUGGUUCUCUGUCUUGUUCAACCACAUGAUAUGCUUACACUUUACAACAACUCUCAUGAAUAGGCCAUUAAAAAUGGUUUAUAAAUUAAUUUGUUAGAAAUGCUUAGGAUGUUUUGUUUAGAAGUGCUUCAUUAAUGUUAACAAAUAAGAAAAUAAAGUAUUAACAGCAUGUACACUGUUUAUGAAUAUUAAUGUUUAUACAUGACAAUUUUUUUAUUUUUUUAUUAUACUGAAUGAUUUUUACAGCUGAUUCUUUGUUUUCACUACAGGUGUAGGAAGAACAACAAACCAAAUAACUUCUUUGGCAUGGAGGACUGUGUUAUGGUCACCCAAAGGUAAUCAGAUCCAUUGACGAGCUGGAACAGUGUAGGGUGCAUUAUGAAAAUCAACUGGGUCUGUGAGAACCAGACGCACAAUCAACUGGGUCUGUGAGAACCAGACCCACAUCCAUGUUGAACACUAGUUGUAAUUGUUAUGGCUCCAUGGUUAAAGAAGGGGCAGUCUGGAAUUGUCCAAGUGGCAGGGUGACUGGUCGCUUUGCUGUUUGAAUCCCAGAUUGACUCUUUAUUAAGUCUAUCUGAAGGAGUUGUGUUGAAUAUCCAUGUGAGGUUUUAAGCAGUUUUAGUAUUUAUUUGUAAUAACUGACAACAUUAUAUCAGAAAUUAUUAUGGACUCCAGUGCACUAAAUAUACAGUAGAAAUGAUCAGGUGUAGUAUUAGUAGUGAAGUAUACAUGCAUACCAUUAUGUUUAUUUAACUGAGCAAGUCCGUUAAAGAACAAAUUCUUAUUUACAAUGACAGUCUAGGUAACAGUGGGUUAACUGCCUUGUUCAGGGGCAAAACGACAGAUGUUUACCAUGUCAGCUCAAGGAUUCAAUCCAGCAACCUUUCGGUUAUUGGCCCAACGCUCUAACCACUAGGCUACAUGCCGCCCCAUGUAAUGUAUUGUAGUGAAUUUGGGGCCUAGUCCCUCAUCCAGCGACUGUCAACACAACACCUCAGUCGUUACACCAAGAGAUAUGAAACCCUUGAUGAGGUUGCUAGGUGUUGGGUUAAGGUCACUACAGUAUAAACUCAGUAUAGACCAGGUUAUGAGGUUGCUAGGUGUUGGGUUAAGGUCACUACAGUAUAAACUCAGUAUAGACCAGGUUAUGAGGUUGCUAGGUGUUGGGUUAAGGUCACUACAGUAUUAACUCAGUAUAGACCAGGUUAUGAGGUUGUAGGUGUUGGGUUAAGGUCACUACAGUAUAAACUCAGUAUAGACCAGGUUAUGAGGUUGCUAGGUGUUGGGUUAAGGUCACUACAGUAUUAACUCAGUAUAGACCAGGUUAUGAGGUUGCUAGGUGUUGGGUUAAGGUCACUACAGUAUAAACUCAGUAUAGACCAGGUUAUGAAAUUGCUAGGUGUUGGGUUAAGGCCACUACAGUAUAAACUCAGUAUAGACCAGGUUAUGAGGUUGCUAGGUGUUGGGUUAAGGUCACUACAGUAUAAACUCAGUAUAGACCAGGUUAUGAGGUUGCUAGGUGUUGGGUUAAGGUCACUACAGUAUAAACUCAGUAUAGACCAGGUUAUGAGGUUGCUAGGUGUUGGGUUAAGGUCACUACAGUAUAAACUCAGUAUAGACCAGGUUAUGAAAUUGCUAGGUGUUGGGUUAAGGUCAGUAUCAACUAGGUUGUGGGGACUGUCUGGUAAUUAGUCAAAUCUUAUGUCAUUGGUGUAGAAAAAGUAAUAAUCAAUAUGCUGGAUGUAUUAUAAACAUUGUAUUGUGAAGACAUGUUUUAUUUAGUUAAUGUCAUUACACUAGACCAAAACCUGUCUAGCUGUCUGUUGAAUUACACUAGACCAAAACCUGUCUAGCUGUGUGUUGAAUUACACUGGACCUAAACCUGUCUAGCUGUGUGUUGAAUUACACUGGACCAAAACCUGUCUAGCUGUCUGUUGAAUUACACUGGACCUAAAC